AUAUCGUAUUACUUGAUUAUUUAAUAAACAUAUCAUACUCGAUUAUGUCCAGUUUUAUUCACAAGGUUUGUUUAGUUCAUAUUCUUUCUGUUUUGAAAACAAGUGCAUUGCAUUAUGUGAUAAUUGUCUGCAUUGUUUUUGUAUUACAUUCUGAGUUACUAACAGCAAAGUUGAUGCAUUACUGCUUUCUAAUUCUAUCAGGUUGCAGGUGGUUAUGGAUGAUUUUCUAAAGAAUGUUGUUUUUAGUAACAUCGAUGAUGUGUGGGAAAUUAGUGAGCCACGAUCUGUUAUAAUACUGGGUACCGUAAAGGAAAUAUCCAGGGAGGUUGGUUGGUUUUCUUUGAAGUGUCCUAAUUGUUUAAAUGAGGCUUGUACAAAAAACAUGGGUUUAACUAAAUUUGAAGGAGGUUGUGAUCAAGAACAACAUACGUUGUAUGUGUGCACUAAUGAAUUUUGUCGAAAAAAUGUUAUUGAUGAACCGGUUUUAAGAUUGAAGGUUCGUGUUGAGGAUAGCAGUGGUGAUGUAUCUCUUAUUUUGUUUCAUAAUACAGCAUGUUAUCGAGAAGUCUGCAAAACAGUUGAUUCAGGAUAACACAAUGGAUGAUGGUACUGUGCGAUUUCCAAACGAAUUAAAAACUUUGGUGGAUAAAUUGUUUUCAUUCAAGAUUGAAGUCAGCGAGACUAACUUGACAUAUUGUGAUGAAGAAUACGAGAUUCAAAGAAUAACUGACAAUGAAUCAGUUGUUGAUGUGGUUAAAUAAAUGUCUGGGAUUAGUCAGAGCUGUAUGCUUGAUGAUAAGAAGAAUGGUACUCCAAUUUCGCUUGUGAUGAGUUCUGAUGGUGAUUCAAUUGAUAAAAAAACAUGUUCAAUGGUUUGUAAAGAUACGACGUCUAAGCGUAAAUUGCUUGAUCUUUACAAUUUGGAUGUCAUUUCGAACUCGAGCAUCUGUGAAAGUACAAGUAAUAAUAUUGUGGAGAGCGUGAAAGAUGUUGGUAAGAAAGAGAUUAGUUUACCGAUUUUAAUGAGUGAGAUGUUGUUUCUUUUGUUUGUUGCAUUUUAGAG